rnacentral:rRNA from 1 species
UACGGAGGGUGCAAGCGUUAUCCGGAUUCACUGGGUUUAAAGGGUGCGUAGGCGGCUAUAUAAGUCAGUGGUGAAGCCCGCAGCUCAACUGCGGAAUUGCCAUUGAAACUGCAUAGCUUGAAUCUGGUUGAAGUGGGCGGAAUACAUCAUGUAGCGGUGAAAUGCUUAGAUAUGAUGUAGAACACCGAUUGCGAAGGCAGCUCACUAAGCCAACAUUGACGCUGAGGCACGAAAGCGUGGUAGCGAACAGG